rnacentral:pre_miRNA from 1 species
GGCCUUAUGCAAGUUCUGUAAAGUGUCACCUUGUUCCGAAGGGACAUUUUACUCCGCUUACAGAUCA